AACGCGAAGAACCUUACCAGGGCUUGACAUCCUGUGAAGUUCUCUGAAAGGAGAGUGUGCCGUAAGGAACACAGUGACAGGUGCUGCAUGGCCGUCGUCAGCUCGUGUCGUGAGAUGUUUGGUUAAGUCCAUCAACGAGCGCAACCCUUAUGAAUAGUUGAAUUUUUCUAUUCAGACUGCCCUGGUAACAGGGAGGAAGGAGGGGAUGAUGUCAGGUCAGUAUUGCCCUUAUGCCCUGGGCUACAAACACGCUACAAUGGCCGGUACAAAGGGCAGCUAAGUCGCGAGACGGAGCAAAUCCCAUCAAAGCCGGUCCCAGUUCGGAUUGUAGGCUGAAACUCGCCUACAUGAAGCCGGAAUCGCUAGUAACGGUAGGUCAGCACACUACCGUGAAUACGUUCCCGGGCCUUGUACACACCGCAUAC
rnacentral:rRNA from 1 species